CUAGAAGAGGAUUUUAUGAAAUUUCGUCCUUAAAGAAUAGGGAGAUGAGUUGAAAAAGACGUAUUUACAAAUACCUCAAUGGAUACUUACUUAUGAAGUCACGUUAUCUCAAAUAAUUUACUAUACUAAUUUAAAAACAGUAUGCUACUGAAAAAUAUUGUUGAUAAAAUACAAAUAUUCAUUACACAUCCGCUAUAUGGCGUUCAAUGAAUAUGCAAAUAUUGAUGAAUUAAAAAAAUUGCAAUUAAAGAUGGCCAGUUAUAUUCUGAGCAGAGGCGGGGUUCUUUAGGCCUGUAAAUUAAAAAAGUCUGUAAAACACUCUCCGGGCACUUUUAUUUUAAAUUCCCCGGUCCGCCACUGUUAAGGGAAGUUAAAAAUACUCCCUGUUUUUCAGACAGUAUCAUCAGAAAAGGUAGAAAGAACAAUACUUGAACAUCUCAUUGAUAACAAUUAAAAAUGAUCGAGAAUGUUCUGCUCAUACUUUUUGUUAUAGGCCUACAGCCAAUGCAUGAGAAAAGAGGAGUAAAAUCAGAACAAUAAGUAAUUAUUAAUUUGAUUGCACUUUGUACUACUCUACAUAAUACACUAGUAUGAUUAUGAGCAUAUUUUUAUUUCAUUUGUUUUGGAUGUACUUGACCUUAUUUGAACUCCUUAUGAUGUAAAAGUGCACUUUCCAAAUAAGAUAUUAUGAUUGGUCAAUUGACUAUACUAACAAUAUUCAACUGAAUAUCGGUAGUUAAGUCCACACUUGGAGCUCUCAUGAAAUAGAGUUGUUGCAUUUAAAGUUACGUGUUGGUAAUUCUGACAGGUUUGAACCAUAAAAAUAAAAUACCCAAGGAUUUGAACGGAAUACUCAAGAACCCAAGACCAAGUCAAAAUACUCAAGGCCUUGGAUAAAUACCAAAGCAGUGGUCAAGUUGAUCAAGAUUGAAUAAGUGUUUAUAAAAGUUUAUAUAUAAUGUAUUAUGCGUUCAGAAACAACCUUAUGACCGACAGAGAUAAGUAUAAAAACAAUCGAAUAGUCAAGCCUGAGGCAGGGGCGCGCGGUUCAGAGAGGUGCCGUAUCAAUCGCCAAAUAUCAUCGCCACGACUCGCUCUUAUGUGGAACAAGUCUUCUCGGGUAACUAUACCCUAGGCCCAGUGGGCGUAGUCGGGCGUCGCUCAUAAUCUCUCGAAAGUGUUCCAGGGGCGAAGCCGAAAAAAUAUGACAGUUUAGGAUUUCAAAGGCUUAUUUUAUCGAUUUUGGCGUCUAAUAUGUAGAAAAUACAUAUAUAGGCCUAUAUAUAAU